CAGCCGCCGCGGUAAUACGUAGGUGGCAAGCGUUGUCCGGAAUUAUUGGGCGUAAAGGGCUCGCAGGCGGUUUCUUAAGUCUGAUGUGAAAUUCCCGGGCUCAACCUGGGAAUGGCAGUGGAUACUGGCUCGCUAGAGUGUGUCAGAGGAUGGUGGAAUUCCCGGUGUAGCGGUGAAAUGCGUAGAGAUCGGGAGGAACAUCAGUGGCGAAGGCGACUAUCUGGGCCAACACUGACACUGAGGCACGAAAGCGUGGGGAGCAAACAGGAUUAGAUACCCCCGUAGUCCCUGUCUCUUAUAC
rnacentral:rRNA from 1 species